CUACGGGCGGCAGCAGUGGGGAAUAUUGCACAAUGGGCGCAAGCCUGAUGCAGCCAUGCCGCGUGUAUGAAGAAGGCCUUCGGGUUGUAAAGUACUUUCAGCGGGGAGGAAGGGAGUAAAGUUAAUACCUUUGCUCAUUGACGUUACCCGCAGAAGAAGCACCGGCUAACUCCGUGCCAGCAGCCGCGGUAAUACGGAGGGUGCAAGCGUUGAUCGGAAUUACUGGGCGUAAAGCGCACGCAGGCGGUUUGUUAAGUCAGAUGUGAAAUCCCCGGGCUCAACCUGGGAACUGCAUCUGUGACUGGCAAGCUUGAGUCUCGUAGAGGGGGGUAGAAUUCCAGGUGUAGCGGUGAAAUGCGUAGAGAUCUGGAGGAAUACCGGUGGCGAAGGCGGCCCCCUGGACGAAGACUGACGCUCAGGUGCGAAAGCGUGGGGAGCAAACAGGAUUAGAUACCCGUGUAGUC
rnacentral:rRNA from 1 species